rnacentral:misc_RNA from 1 species
CCACGACAAGUAGCCAUUUGGUUCCAGAACCGCCGUGCCCGUUGGAAGACUAAGCAACUGGAGCGAGAAUAUGUAGCCCUCAAGGCCAAUUAUGAAGCUCUAAAACUCAAUUAUGAUAGUCUUGAACGACAGAACGAAUCUCUAACUCUGCAGGUAAAGGAAUUGAAAGCAAAGCUCAGGGAAGAAAAUGCAGACAGCAGUCACUCUGUCAAAGAGGAGCCCCCUGUUUCAGAGUCAGAGAACAACGUUUCAGUGCAUAGUCAGAGCCACGAAUUCAGUGAUAAUAACAAUUCCAACCCAAUCAUUAAAGACCAGAGCAAUGGUUUAUCUUCACAUGCAUUGAUGAAUUGGAUUCAGUUAUCUGAAUCAAGAACCAUUUUGGGCAAUGGGUUUCAAGUAUAUCAACCCCAUGUGAAACUAGAAGAGCAAAAUGUGUUCAGUACAGUGGAGUCCUGCAAUUUCUUUUCAGUUGAUCAAGCUCCCACCCUGCACUGGUACUAUCCAGAGCAGUAAAAACUAGUUUAGGACUUGAAAAGGAAUAAAUUGGUAUUGAAGAAAUGGUGGAUUAGGACUUCAUUCUUGCUCUUGCAUUGCAACAGGUGGCGGGAACUGAGAAGUUUACACAAUUUGCCUCUGGUGUAAAGAUCAUAAUGUUCAGUAACCAAUCCGGAUUAAGUCGCUUUCUGUCAAGGACCAAUUUUCUAUUAAUCAAUGUUUUUAACUGUUUAUUGGUUAUAAAGAAGCUAGUACCUUACCUUAUAAGUUGCUUUUGCAUGACCACUGACUAAUAAAUAUGACUCCAUCUUGAUGUGGCCACAGAAAUGAUGUCCCACCCACUGGAGCGUUCUUGCUUUUUUCUCUUGCUUGUACUUUU